ACGGAGGCCACAAGGACACGGGCAGCCAUGGGGGGACACGGCGGUGGUGGCUCCGGGUGCUGCGGGAGGACACGGGGUCGCCGGUGACAACGGCGCGGUGCCGGGCAGGAACUGGGCCCGGCAGCAGCCGGACGAGGCCGGGACGGGCGAGGACUGCGUGACCAUGGGGGUCGGAGGACGCUGGGCCGACCGGGCCUGCGCCUCGUCCCCCGGCGGGUGGCUCUGCGAGCGUCCCUGGAGCUGCUGACCGGGCCACCGGGGCCACCGGGGCCACCGCGGGGACGGACCGCGCCGGGGGAUCUGCCAGCUCCAGCGUCCCGGGGACCUCCUGCACCCGUGGGAACUCCUGGAUCCAUGGGAGCUGCAGCACCUGUGGGACCUCCUGGACCCAUGGGAGCUCCUGGAUCCAUGGGAGCUCCAGCAUCUGUGGGAUCUUCUGGACCUAUGGGAGCUCCUGGAUCCAUGGGAGCUCCAGCAUCUGUGGGAUCUCCUGCACCCAUGGGAGCUCCUGGAUCCAUGGGAGCUCCUGGAUCCAUGGGAGCUCCAGCACCUGUGGGAUCUCCUGCACCCAUGGGAGCUCCAGCACCUGUGGAUCCCCAAGAAAGUCAGGAGACCCUAGCACCCAAGGGACCUCCUGGACCAGUGGGAGCUCCUGGACCCACGGGAGCUCCAGCACCCAUGAGCCCUCCUGGACCAAUGGGUCCCCGAGAAAGCCAGGAGACCCCAGCACCCAUGGGACCUCCUAGACCCAUGGGAUCUCCUGGACCCAUGGGACCUCCUGCACCCAUGAAUCCCCAAGAAAGCCAGGAGACCCCCAGCACCCAUGGGACCUCCUGUCCCCCCAGUCCUGGCCCCCCGGCUGCGCUCGGGGACGUUGGCGGUGGCAAUAAACCUCCUGCAGCCCCCAGAGAGUCCAGUGAUGGAACGGGUGACACCGGGGCGGGUGACACCAGGGUGGGAUGGGUGACACCAGGGCAGGUGACACCAGGAUUGGAUGGGUGACACAGAUGGGACAGGACAAAUGACAGUGGGGUGGGACAGGUGACACCAGGAUGGGAUGGGUGACACCACGAUGGGGCAGGACGGGUGACACCAAGGCGGGUGACACUGCGAUGGGACAGGUGACACCAGGACGGCAUGGGCGACACCACGAUGGGACAAGAUGGGUGAAACCAGGGUGGGACGGGUGACACCAGGGUGGGACGGGUGACACCAGGACGGGUGACAUUGGGGCGUGGCCCAGGCACCGCACCGGGGGAGCGUCCGGGCCACAUCUGGAGCCAGAUCGGGGCCACAUCUGGGUGGCACCAGCAGUGACGGCGGCCACACCUGGGGCACAUCUGGAGACAUGGGGUCCACGCAGGACACAUUUGGGGGGACACAUCCGGGCCCACCGGGGUGACACUCGCGGGUGCCAUUAGGGGACACUUCAGGGACACUACGGUGACAUCUGGGGCACAUCCACGGGGGCUGCGGUGGGUCACAUCUGGGGCAGACUGGGAACAUCUGGAUGGGUGACGGCAAGGCAUUGGGUGGCCCUUGGGACACACCUGGAGGCCACAUCUGGGGUGACACAUCCGGGGGCCCGUCGGGGCACACCCGGAGGUGACAUCUGGGCACAGCUGGGGACACCGAUGGGGACAUCGG
rnacentral:lncRNA from 1 species